UCUGGAUUGGCGAGGUAUCGAGACGCGGGGUUUCAGCAUGUCUCCAUAAAUGUCGGUAUGGACAUGACACCGUUCAGUGCGGUGAUACGGGUC
rnacentral:tRNA from 1 species